AUGGGCUCAAUGCGAAUCGAAAUAAAGUCCCUUCACUUUUUCUGUUGCGAAGGUUGUUUAGAGAUUUCCCUUUACAAUAACGAGACUUUUUUUUUUUAAUAGUGAAGGCUCUACAAUAACGUGAGACGUUAGGGUUCCGACGCUCCGGUCUAUCUCGAUUCUUCUUGUAGCUUCGUCUUCGCUUUCUCCUCCUGUUAUCUUUGAAGUUCGCGGAAUCUGGGGUGAAUUCGAUUGAUUUCUCAUCGAAUCCGUGAAAUUGAGCUUCUGUUGUUGAAGGUAGAUAUGGAGGUCGUCAAAUCCAAGUAUAGGGACGAGGAUUUGGAGGUGGAAGAGGAGGAGGAUGAUUUGAAGAGCAGCCGGAGGGACCGUGAUCGGAGUAAGGAGAGGAAGAAGGAGAGGGGUUCUGAUAAGCGCCGGGAGAAGGAUAGACGGAAGAGGCGGUCUGAGAGAGUUAAGAGUAGUGAUGAUUCUGAAGAUGAGUACGGGAGAGGGGAUGAUGAUGAUGAUGAAGAGAGGGAGAGGCGUAAAGAAAAGGAGAGGAGGCGGAGGGAUAAAGAGAGGGGGAAGAGACGGUCUGAGAGAAGGAAGAGUAGUGAUUCUGAAGAUGGCGAUGAAGAAGAUGAUGAGAGAGAUAAGCGCCGAGUGAAGGAGAAGGAGAGAGGGCACAGAGAACAUAGGGACAAAGAUCGGAAAAGGGAUAGGGAUAGAGAGAGGGAAGAGAGGAAGGAGAAAGAAAGAGAACGAGAAAGGGAGAAGGAUAGAGUUAGGAGAGAACGGGAACGAGAGGAGCGUGAGAAGGAGAGACUGAAAGAAAGAGAGAGGCGGGAGCGUGAACGGGAAGAUGGAGAGAGGGAUAGGAGGGAACGUGAGAAAGAAAGGAGUAGGAGGAACCGGGAAAGGGGGAGGUCAAGGGAGGAUGGACAUGAAGAGAGUGAUGAUGAUGUCAAGCGUGAUCUGAAACGUAGAAGAAGAGAGAGUGGAGAACGGAAGGAGAAGGAGCGUGAGAAGAGUGUUGGUAGAUCUAGCAGGCAUGGAGAUAGUCCAAGGAGAAAGAGUGUCGAGGAGGAUGAUGAAAAGAAAGAGAAGAAAACAAGGGAAGAAGAACUAGAGGAGGAGCAGAAGAAGUUGGAUGAGGAGGUUGAGAAACGGAGGAGAAGAGUCCAGGAGUGGCAAGAAUUGAAGAGGAAAAAGGAGGAAGCUGAAAGUGAAAGUAAGGGUGAUACGGAUGAUAAAGAGCCUAAGACCGGUAAGGCUUGGACUCUUGAUGGGGAAUCUGAUGAUGAAGAAGGGCAUCCGGAGGAAAACCCAGAAACUGAGAUGGAUGUUGAUGGAGAAACUAAACCCGAAAAUGGUGCAGAUGCCAAGAUGGUAGAAGCAGAGACCGAGAUGGCUGUUACUGUCUCUGAAGUUGGAGGUGAUGGAGCUGCAGACGAGGAGGAAAUUGAUCCUUUAGAUGCUUUUAUGAAUGCGAUGGUAUUACCUGAGGUUGAGAAGCUUAGCAGCAGUACUCCUCCAGCAAUUGAAGAUGGUAUUUUGGUAACUAAGAAUAAUGGGAAGAAAAGUGAUCACCAGCCGAAGAAAGGUUUUAACAAAUCCCUUGGUAGGAUAAUGCAAGGUGAAGAUUCUGAUUCUGAUUAUUCAGAACCGAAGGAUGAUGAUGAUCCAAGUUUAGAAGAAGAUGAUGAGGAGUUCAUGAAGAGAGUAAAGAAGACAAAAGCAGAAAAAUUGGCUCUUGUUGACCACUCAAAAAUAGAGUAUGAACCUUUCCGGAAGAACUUCUAUAUUGAAGUUAAGGAGAUCUCAAGGAUGACACAAGAAGAAGUUAACGCUUACAGAAAGGAAUUUGAGCUGAAAGUCCAUGGAAAGGAUGUACCGAGACCCAUAAAAUCUUGGCACCAGACUGGACUAACCAGCAAAAUUUUGGAUACCAUGAACAAGCUCAAGUAUGAAAAGCCAAUGCCUAUCCAAACGCAAGCACUGCCAAUCAUCAUGAGCGGUCGAGAUUGCAUUGGAGUUGCAAAAACCGGAUCAGGUAAAACGCUAGGUUUUGUUUUGCCUAUGUUGAGGCAUAUCAAGGAUCAGCCUCCCGUUGAAGCUGGCGAGGGGCCAAUCGGGCUGGUAAUGGCACCUACUAGGGAGCUUGUUCAGCAGAUUCAUAGCGAUAUCAAAAAGUUUUCAAAGGCACUGGGUAUAAGAUGUGUUCCUGUGUAUGGAGGAUCAGGAGUUGCGCAGCAAAUUAGUGAGCUAAAGCGAGGGACAGAGAUUGUUGUGUGCACUCCUGGAAGGAUGAUUGACAUUCUUUGCACAAGCAGUGGGAAAAUCACCAAUCUGCGGAGAGUCACAUUUUUGGUAAUGGAUGAAGCUGAUCGCAUGUUUGACAUGGGUUUUGAGCCUCAGAUUACUCGUAUUAUUCAAAAUAUUCGACCUGAUCGGCAGACUGUGCUCUUUUCUGCCACUUUUCCACGUCAAGUUGAAACAUUGGCACGUAAGGUCUUGAACAAGCCUAUUGAAAUACAGGUUGGUGGAAGGAGUGUUGUGAAUAAGGAUAUAACACAGUUAGUUGAAGUCAGACCGGAGAGUGAGAGGUUCUUAAGACUGCUGGAACUUCUUGGAGAAUGGUAUGAGAAAGGAAAGAUAUUGGUUUUUGUGCAGUCGCAGGAAAAAUGUGAUGCCUUGUUGAAGGAUUUGUUUAAAAGGAGUUAUCCGUGUCUAUCUCUUCACGGUGGUAAAGAGCAGUCUGAUCGUGAAUCAACAAUAUCUGAUUUUAAGAGCAAUGUGUGCAAUAUAUUGAUUGCCACAAGUGUUGCAGCUAGGGGUCUAGAUGUGAAAGACCUUGAGUUGGUUGUAAACUAUGAUGCUCCGAACCACUAUGAAGAUUAUGUGCAUCGCGUUGGCAGGACAGGAAGGGCAGGGCGGAAAGGCUGUGCCGUGACAUUUAUCUCUGAAGAUGAUGCAAAAUAUGCACCGGAUUUAGUAAAGGCCCUGGAACUUUCUGAGCAGCCAAUCCCCGAUGAUCUGAAAGCAAUCGCUGACGGUUUCAUGGCAAAGGUUAGACAGGGUACUGAGCAAGCCCAUGGAACUGGCUAUGGAGGUAGUGGCUUUAAAUUCAACGAAGAGGAAGAAGAAGUUAGGAAAGCAGCAAAGAAAGCACAAGCGAAGGAGUAUGGGUUUGAGGAAGAUAAGUCUGACUCAGAAGAUGAGAAUGAUGUUGUAAGAAAGGCAGGUACUGUUGGUGGUGAUACCUCACAACACCAGGCUGCUCUUGCUCAUAUAGCCGCCAUUGCUGCUGCUGCUAAAGCUAAUGCUGCUGCAAUGAAUCCUCCUGUGACUACAAACCAGUUGCUGCCGAAUGGUGGUGGGCUUACCUCUCUGCCAGGUACCCUUCCGGUUACUGUCCUUCCUAAUGAUGGGGCAGGCCGUGCUGCAGCCAUGGUUGCUGCCAUUAACCUGCAACAUAACCUGGCGAAGAUUCAAGCUGAUGCAAUGCCUGAACACUAUGAAGCAGAACUGGAGAUCAAUGAUUUCCCGCAAAACGCUCGUUGGAAGGUCACCCACAAAGAAACAUUGGGUCCAAUAUCAGACUGGACUGGAGCCGCAAUUACCACUAGAGGUCAGUUUUAUCCUCCUGGACGUAUCCUGGGACCUGGGGAACGCAAGCUCUACUUGUUCAUCGAAGGGCCUACCGAAAAAUCCGUGAAGACGGCGAAAGUUGAACUCAAGCGUGUUCUUGAAGACAUUACUAAUCAGGCUAUGUCACUUCCUGGAGGAUCGCAGGCUGGAAAGUACUCCGUCAUAUAAUGAAAGCAGCCAUGAGGUGGUCUGUUAAGUGAUUCAAAGCACACAGAGUUUAUUUUGUUUAACAAGUAUUAUUAUUUGAUUACUGUUGUGGAAUACAGUCUCUGCACAAUUUCGGAAUCUUUUCUUAUAAUAGACGUGAACUUGGUGUGACUUGGUGUUGAUUAAUACUUGUUGUUGCUCAUCAAGCUACUCGAUCUCUCUUUUAAUUCUACUCUCUUCUUUUUUGUUUGUUUGUUUGUUUAAACAAUGGCUUCGAUGGAUUUGCUAAUGCGCAUUACCGUAUGGUGGUAAUGACUGUAAAAGGAUGGGUAAAAUCUAGCUUGAUGCAGUUUUUGUGUUUGGGAAAAAUUUGUGAAACAUGAAGCUCUGUGGGAGAUAAAGGUGCUUUUGCCUCUGCAAUGGGUAAGAUGACUUGGAGAGUUAGUUCAGUUUUUGUGUCUGUGAAGGAAUCAUCAGUCUGAGUUAAUAAUGGUAAAGGGUGGUGUUUGCAUAGUACAUCGGAUCUGUGAUCAAAAUAGUUGGAAGUAAAAAAGCACUUGUAUGAGUUAUUGUUUUUCGUAUCCAAAUUUUAAAAA